rnacentral:tRNA from 1 species
AGAGAUUUAACUCAGUGGGAGAGUGCUCACUUAGCAUGUGGGAGGCCUGGGUUUGAUCCCCAGUACCAUUA